rnacentral:rRNA from 1 species
CUAAAUUUGGCAACAUCCCAAACCAUCGUGACGUUACCUACAUCGUUGCUUCGGCGGGUGGCGGGCUUCGCGCUCCUGCCCUCGGCCCCUCUCGGGGGCCCGCCGGAGGUACACCAAACUCUUGAAUUUACAUGGCCUCUCUGAGUCUUCUGUACUGAAUAAGUCAAAACUUUCAACAACGGAUCUCUUGGUUCUGGCAUCGAUGAAGAACGCAGCGAAAUGCGAUAAGUAAUGUGAAUUGCAGAAUUCAGUGAAUCAUCGAAUCUUUGAACGCACAUUGCGCCCGCCAGUAUUCUGGCGGGCAUGCCUGUCCGAGCGUCAUUUCAACCAUCAAGCCCCCGGCUUGUGUUGGGGACCUGCGGCACACCCGCAGGCCCUGAAAACCAGUGGCGGGCUCGCUGUCCACACCGAGCGUAGUAGCAUAUCUUUGUCUCGCUCAGGGCGUGCGGCGGGUUCCGGCCGUGAAACCCACCUUCUCGAAGGUACCCAAAGGUUGACCUCGGAUCAGGUAGGAAGACCCGCUGAACUUAAGCAUAUCAAAUAAGAGGAGGGAACAG